GCAAUCAGUGGCUGAGGUGUGAGCCGUGAGGGGUUCUCGUCUGUAGUGGACGAGGGCCGGGUGCACAACAACAGGCAAUCGCCAGACACACUAUUGGGCCCUGAGACAACACUCGGCCGACUUCGGUUGAAGUGGUGUCCCUCCAUCUUGGUGGUGGGGUGUGGUGUUUGAGUAUUGGAUAGUGGUUGMAARMAWCYAA
rnacentral:misc_RNA from 1 species